CUCACGCUUUUGGAGAAACACCAUCACACGCAAUGAAGGUUGGUGUGUGGUUAGCAGACGACGAUUCAUAGGCCUGAUACUUUUUCAAGUAAAUGAAUGUGAUCAAUAAACAAAAUUAGAUGUAGAAAGUGUAUGUAGGUACUGCAAUAAAGUUUUUUAUUUUCAGUAA